CAUCUAUAAAUACGCGUGCAUUAGAUGUGCCCCGACUACAAACACACGUGCUAGAAGCCGGUAGUUAUCAGGGCCUUAAAGAUUUGAGCGAUUUAUGGAAUACUGAAAAAGCUUAUACUUCUCGACAUAUCUACAACGGAGGAAGAUGUAAAUAUUAACCAGAGGCCAAAAACAGCUAUAGAGCGACCGCCAGCAAAAAGACAAUCGAUGGCCUCUCAAAAACAUUUACUAAAUUUGACAUAUGAAUAAUGAACCUCGCCAAAAGAAUAGGAAACGUAAAGCUCUACAUCUCACUGAUGAAUUGGUGCAAUUGGCUUCCAAAGGCUUUCAACAACCAUGAGAUGACACCGACAAAAUUGCUGUAGCUUGGGCAGUCGAGUUGCGAAAAAUCAAUCCCCAACAACAGUUGCUUGCGAAGAAAGUGAUCAAUGAUAUUUUAUUUGAGGGACAACUGGGGACCCUACAUCGUAAUUCUCUCUUCAAUUCCUCUUAAUACUUCUUCAUUCCGUCAGUACGUAUCAAAAGAUCCUACAUCUUUGUUUUACCCAA